CGUAGCCAAUGCCCGUCGGCAAGUGGCCGUGGCAGUGAUGAGGAGGAGGACAAGGGAGGAGAGUCCGUCGUCUUUCUCCUCGAGUGCGCGCUGUUGUGUAUGUUUUCUUUUUCCUCGUUUUUCUGCUCGUGUGCGUGCGUGCGUCCGCGGCUAGCGUCGCGGUGGUUUGUGCGACCGCUGCUGCUGCCGUAGCCAGCGCUCGCUGGGCCAGCUACCACCGACCGCUGCUCCGACGUCGUGAGUCGUUGAAGCGAGCGGCGCGCUUCCAGCGUGGUGCGAGCGUAGGAGCUUCGCUCACGAACGAGAUGCGCAGCGCCGUUGGCUGAAGCGCACCCAGCAGCGCUCGUCGUCGCGUCAGCGCCGUGCCUGGGUCAACGUUGAGCCAGCCGAUCGAGCGACGACUCCAGCAGCAGUGUGCACGCCAGAGGAGCGGGCAAACAUGCCGACCCUGCGGGACAAACUGGCCGACUUCCUGCGGCAGUUGUCGACGGGCACGGAGCGGGCGGGCGCCGAUCCCAAAGCCGAGUGCCCGUCGCCCACGUCGGCGACGGCCACAUUCAUGCAGCGUUAUCUGAACGGGGAAGGGCUGCCCAAGCAACCGGAGAUUGUACACUCCAAAUCAUGCUAUGACCUGCCCAACCGGGACGUCGCGCCCCUCUCCAAGCACAUCCUGGCGGCCUACACGGGGCCGUCAGGUGGUCUCACGGGCGUCAACAGGGGGCCCCAUCGUGCCCUGACGGUCACCGACCAGGUGGACUUCAUCGACGAUGAUUCCCUCUGUGGCAGCAACGAGAAUCUCGCCUCCAGGUACCUUGAAAGGAGUGGCGGCACGCCCAAGGCCAAGGCUCCCACCAGCCUCUCGUCAAACAGCGAGGGGCCGCGAGUUGCUGACACAGCUUGUGUAACUGGUGAAGAGGCUGAGACGGCCACUGAGGAGAUCGCUGGCAUCUGCAAUUGGAACCAGCCAGCAGAGUUCGCUUACGGAAUUGCCACAACGCUUUAUGAGUGUCAUCCUGUCACCAAAGAAAAUGCAGGGGAGCCAAUCGCAGACGCAUUUGCCAUCUGCGUUCGGGAGAACAGCGCUGUGAUGGCCCUGGCAGACGGUGUCAACUGGGGUGACAAGUCUUGCCUGGCGGCACGUUGUGCGGUGCACGGCUGCAUGGACUACCUCAAUCGGGCACUGUACCGCGAGGGCGGCACCAUUGAAACAACACAGGAGGUGUUUGUUUGUCUGCUGCGUUCAUUCCAAGCUGCACACAGCUUGAUUCUACAAGAGCAAGGCAUGCUAACAACACUCUGCGCUGCAGUAGCGGUCCAGCUUCAAGGCUCUGACCAGUACGUCGUGUGCGUGUGCAACGUUGGUGACAGCCUCGCCUAUGUCUACAAUCAGCAGCAUGGGGUUCGUGAAAUCACUCUAGGAUCUCAUGAUAUCCACUCAAUGCGGGAUAUGCGGGAUGCCCUUGGUGCUCUGGGCCCCGUUGACGGUCAGAACCCUGAGCUCAACAACCUAACCGUUUCCAUGACGGUAGUCCAGCCUGGUGACAUCGUCUUCCUCACCUCGGACGGUAUCUCGGACAACUUUGACCCCGUCGUCGGCAAGUUUGCCAUUGCCAAGCGAAGUCGCAAAGACGGCACGACCAACACACAGCAGCCACCUCCGCCCCUGCCCGAGGUCGAAGCACACCAGCGGCAUGCGCUGACCCUCCUGCGAAUGCAGGACCUGCUGCAGCAGGGCCUGUACCAGGGGGAUGGUGCGUGCAGCUCAGCCGAGGAACUCUGUGAGCGAAUGGUGGACUUUGCCACCAAGUUGACGGCAGCCAAGAGACGCAUCCUCGAAGACCCCGAGCUUUAUGCAGCUGACUCUGCACCAGGCGAAGAUGCUCGACGACGGCGCCACCGCGCGGGACCCCGGCUUGCCAUGGUGCCCGGCAAGCUGGACCACGCCUCGCUCGUUGCCUACCAGGUUGGCAGGGGCAGCUCCAAUGCCCGCUGCCGUCGCCGGCAAGGCACGGACGUGUACGACGGUCAGGAGGACCGUGCAAACCGAAAUGUCCCUUCCACUCCCGGAGAACCAGAUGACUAUCCUGACAACCUUCCCUAUGAGACGACCAUCUGAGCUGCUGUCUAUGGGUGCGAUACAGGAGCACUGGGUGUGAAACAAACCUCCACUUCUCUAGCAGGGGGACACACCUCCAACCUUGGCUUCUGUUUAGGAUAUUAUAAAACGAACACAACGGUUUAUUUUUGGUUAUGUAGAAGGAAGAAAAUGGUACAGUGAAUGGCAAAUGCUUUCUUGGCAUGAUCCUCGCAUUUCUAUUUGGCAUCAGUGACAUGGCUUGACAGAAACUCGAAAACAUACCGACACAUCAGUGACAUUGAAAGGGUAACGUGACUGAACAGUGUUGCAGCACACUCCUCCUCCAGGUUUUCUUCCCUUCGCCUUAUGCAUAAAGGUACCAUAUUUUCAUGUGUAUAACCAGCACUGAAAAUGGAAGAAAUUGUAAAGUGCAAAGGGUGUUUGCAAGCUAUCCAGAAAUCUAACUGCGAGGUGUAAUUUCACAGCUGCGCUCUGCUUUGCUUUAGGGCUCACAGCUCCUAAAGCUGUGAUGCCAGUUGUGUCAGAGUAAGGUUAUGCACAUGUAAAUGUGCUAUCUUAACUGUAAUGUCUUUGUGAGCUGCAUGUGUGCGCAUGCAAAAUCAGCUUGCAUCUCAUGCUGAACACAACUAUUAGUCUACAGUACAGUCAGUGUCAAACGUUUUUGGAAUGCAGGUUCCACUUGCAUCCUACUUUUAGCUUGCAGCAAUUAAAACAGUGCAACAUUAAGUUGGUUGCAUACACUAAGUACAAAUCUUAAAUCCAGGCUGUGUGCCAAGCUUCAAUAAGUGUGUUUUUUUCUCAGGUCCUAUGCCUGAUAACAUUGGAAUUUUGACCAAAGUGUGGCCUCGAACCAAGGAAUUUGGAUCAAGAGGUCUUGCAAAGCUUGUUUUCUUGUAAGCUACUGCAUCCUUAAAUUUUUGUUUUGUUGGCCCUCUGAUUUGUAUGUUCUAUUCUUGCAUCCUAUCUUUGAAAUACUCUUCUUGCCUCUGUGCAAGGUUCGGUAAACAAAGUGAAACACUGCCCCAGAGUUGACAACUCGUUGCAUUUUUUCGGUCAGGGUUGAUUCGUGUUGCAGCAGUGAGGUUGCUGCCCUUUGCUAUGUAGACACUUGGAAAUAAGCUUGUGCACCAUGGCCAAUAAGAGGCAAAAGCAAACGCCAAAGAUAGUAAUAGAUUACUUAGUCUAAUCACAGUUGAUUACGUAAGUGCAAUCGCGAGGAGGAUGACUGUUUAAUUUUUCUUCCCUUAUGUUUUCAUCUUUUGCCACUGUGUCAACCACCUCCAUGAAAUCCCAGGUUUAGAACCUCGUGGAGAGGUGGUAGCAUUUAGUAUCCGCCAUAUGUUGUUGUUUCAAGCACUAAUAUCUUUCUUCAGUCCUCGCUUUCAGUGCCUUGUAGACGGUUUUACUGAAUUGUGCGAGACAUGUUUUGCAUUUGUGCGUACCGCGUUAAACUUUUUCACAUGGAGCGGUUUCCUACUGCAGUUUUCGCAUCACCAUACAUCUAAAUGGAAGCCUCAAUUAUUGUUCGGUGUAAGCUAGCUUACUUUUAAAAUGACAGAAAGCUGAGUAAGUUGCUGAGGGUUCAUUUUAUUUGAAGCUGCAGGCAUAGAAAACAUGGACACAAUGAGUGAAAAACGCAAACUGUGGUGAUUAACCCUCUGUUUUCUUUGGUGAAGACAAAUGAAAGGAAUUUAUUAAAUUUCAUUGGCAAACCUCUUAGUUUGAGAUCAUUAGUUCAUCAAAACAUAGCAACAGAGCAGGUCAUCGUGUUGUCUUGAAUAGGCUGCAUUAACUUCACUUUUCCACUACAAGUGAUUUCACAGAGAAGUUCAUCACUUUCACAUGCGUAAAAACCACUCUCCAAAAGGGGUUUGCCUGAAACAUGAUGCUCCACGUGCAAAAUCGCGAGCAAGAUCGCACCAUGUGAAUUGCACUUUACUCAUUUAAACUCAUGGCCUCAAAUACGCAGCCUGCACAUUUUGUGAGCGUUUGUGACAUAUUUUUAUUUUUUGUUUGCAUUUUUAUAUAUGUUUUAUCAGCACAGUUUGUAGUGCUUGCAGUUGUUGAAUUCUGUGUGCUGUGCGAGACAUGUUUUUUUGUGUUUUUGUUUGUGCUCAGAAAGACUUGGGAUAUGCAGCAGUUUAUCCCCACCUGCUUUUGCAUUUGUGCUUCUUGGUAAGCUUUCAGUGUUGCCCGGUUUUAUUGUUGACUCGGCAUUUACGUGCACAUUCCACACCACUGACAACAUGUACAACUGUCUCGCCCUUGUGAUGCUCCCGCUAGUUCACCUGUGUCAGUGGGAAGGCAAACUAGGUGAAAGAAUAUAGAGAGGCAACUAUUGCGAAGCUGUCUGGAUAGAUGGCCUGUGCUAUGCUUGUAGUGUCCGUUUGCUAAAGGCAUUUUUUGAGCUGUGAUGUGUGCAAGGCUUCAAGCAAAGGACAGCAGAGGAAGGAUAUGUGCACCAGAAGAUGGUGCGUGUACAGUUUGUUGUAGCUGUUCCCCCAUUGUGUGAUAACCAUGCACCGCUUUGUCCACCUGCAGUGGCGAAGUGGCUCAGAUUCCCAAUUGUAUGUUAACUUCAAGAGCUGAAAUAAAAGCAAGUGCGAUGCCUUUUGGA